rnacentral:rRNA from 1 species
AGCGAACGUUAGCGGCGCGCCUAACACAUGCAAGUCGCACGAGAAAGGGAGCAAUCCCCGGUACAGUGGCGCACGGGUGAGUAACACGUAGAUGACCUUCCCUGGAGUGGUGGAUAACCUGCCGAAAGGCGGGCUAAUACAGCAUGGGACCACAUGGUUUUGACCGAGUGGUGAAAGCGGGCCUCUGUUCACAAGCUCGCGCUCUGGGAUGGGUCUGCGUCCCAUCAGCUAGUUGGUGAGGUAAUGGCUCACCAAGGCAUCGACGGGUAGCUGGUCUGAGAGGAUGACCAGCCACACUGGAACUGAGACACGGUCCAGACUCCUACGGGAGGCAGCAGUGGGGAAUAUUGGGCAAUGGGGGAAACCCUGACCCAGCCAUGCCGCGUGAGUGAUGAAGGCC